GAACGUGUUUUAUCAUGAGCGGGGCGGGGUGCCUGUGCCUAGCGGCCUUGCCCCGGCCCCGUUGCCGGCCGGGAGCCCCCCCUCCGGAGGGGACUCCCGUCCGGCACAAUAACGAACCCCGGCGCGGUCCGCGCCAAGGAACAUGAAUACAAGCGUGCCCCCGCCUGCCGGUCCGCCGGACAGGGGGGCGGCACCAGGUCGUAUAUAACAUUAAACGACUCUCGGCAACGGAUAUCUCGGCUCUCGCAUCGAUGAAGAACGUAGCGAAAUGCGAUACUUGGUGUGAAUUGCAGAAUCCCGUGAACCAUCGAGUCUUUGAACGCAAGUUGCGCCCGAAGCCUUCUGGCCGAGGGCACGCCUGCCUGGGCGUCACGCAUCGCGUCUCCCCCAUCCCCCCCGCGAGGGCGGGGAGGGGGAGGAGGAUGGCCUCCCAUGCCUCACCGGGCGUGGAUGGCCUAAAUAAGGAGCCCCAGGCCACGAGCUGCCGCGGCGAUAGGUGGUAGACAAGGCCUCCGGCCAAGGAUG
rnacentral:misc_RNA from 1 species